rnacentral:rRNA from 1 species
UACGUAGGUGGCGAGCGUUAUCCGGAAUUAUUGGGCGUAAAGGGUGCGUAGGCGGUUUAUUAAGUCUGUGGUGAAAGUGCGGGGCUCAACCCCGUAUGGCCACAGAAACUGAUCGACUAGAGUACAGGAGAGGGCAGUGGAAUUCCAUGUGUAGCGGUAAAAUGCGUAGAUAUAUGGAGGAACACCGGUGGCGAAGGCGGCUGCCUGGCCUGUAACUGACGCUGAGGCACGAAAGCGUGGGGAGCA